CAGUAGCCGCGGUAAUACGUAGGUGGCAAGCGUUGUCCGGAAUUAUUGGGCGUAAAGGGCUCGCAGGCGGUUUAUUAAGUCUGAUGUGAAAGCCCCCGGCUCAACCGGGGAGGGUCAUUGGAAACUGGGAAACUUGAGUGCAGAAGAGGAGAGUGGAAUUCCACGUGUAGCGGUGAAAUGCGUAGAGAUGUGGAGGAACACCAGUGGCGAAGGCGACUCUCUGGUCUGUAACUGACGCUGAGGAGCGAAAGCGUGGGGAGCGAACAGGAUUAGAUACCCCUGUAGUCCCUGUCUCUUAUAC
rnacentral:rRNA from 1 species